rnacentral:lncRNA from 1 species
AUACUGUAUGUUCUACCUAACAACAUUCCAAAGCAGAACAUUUUAUUCCCUGGCAUGAGCUGGCACAGUGGGCAGGAUUAUUGUAAUUCAUUUGGGUAAAUGAACUGAAGCUUAAUGUACAAAAAUAUUCUGUCAGUUUUUACAAUUCUGUAAUGAUAAAAACUGGGUUUAGAAUUUCAGCAUCUUAAUUUCUAUUGUCCUUAUCCCAUUCUGAUUAUUUGAUCUUCUUUUCAAUUAAAGUCCAUAUAUUAUCUUUAACGGUCUAUGUUUUGUUUGCUAAUUAUUUAGAAUUACAAUCUUAUUUAAAACUAUGCUAUCAUGCUGAUUACUAAUUACUUGGUUUGGCAAGCUCAUGGUCUACCAGUAAAUAUAUCUUAAACAUUGAAGAAAUUUUUCUCAUUGAAGUCUUGAAUAUAUUUUUCUCUUAAAAUGUAUUUACAAUCAAAAAUAAUUUUGGAAAAUCAAGAGAAUAUAUCAUGUAACUAUUAGUGACAAGAAAUUUUAGGCUACUCUUUAACAUAUCACAUUUACUAUUAGUGGUAUUUUUAAAACUUGCCAAAAGGUUUUAUACUAAUGUUUAGAAUAGAAAGCUAAGCUAUUGCCAUACAGUGAACUAUUAAACACUAAAGUGAAUGUUUGGAAAGUGAUAGAAUAUUCUGAUAAAAAUGAAUAUUUGUAGAAUAUUUGCACGCGUGUGCCGCUACUUACUGGCAGUUGACAGCAGCUGAGAGAGGGAAAGUCAAGUCCUUUGAAAGUGUUGCCUCAUGUAUAUUGACCACUUCCAGUUGAAGGCCACACGUUUAGGAAUAUAUAGGCAGCACAAAUUAGACUUGAUGAAUUAAAAGAAUAGAAAGUGGAUAUGGAAGGAGGAGGUGGGUCUGGGAAGAGGUAAAUAUGGUCAAAAGACAUUGUACAAAAUUCUAAACU